rnacentral:lncRNA from 1 species
UUUUUUUUUUUUUUUUAGGUUAAUCUUUUAGGAGUCAUUGACACUCCAAGAAAAUCAUCAUACAGUUCUCCCGACUCGUCUUUUCCGAUGAUAUUUUGGGAGUGAAACAAUAACAAUUCCCAAUUUUUUAAAACCCAAAAUUGGUUUGUCGAUUGUUUCAUAAGCAUGUUGUAGAAAACCAAAUGAGAGGCGCAAUACUAGAUGGAAGAAAAAACAGUUCUUGCUAUAUACUAUAUAUAACCAUGAAUCUGGUUCCCGAAAAUAUCUAUAACAUCAAUGACAACCUCAUGCAAUUGCAAUAUAAGACCUACAAAAGAGAAAUGUCCAAGGCAUGAAUUUCUUUGAAGCUCCUCUGCGGCCAUCAUAAAUUACAGCUAUCUCUCAGGUACUCCUUUGUAGAACUACUUAGCAGUCGCACAGGGAAGGACCCAACAACCAGGGUGUGAAUUUUGUCGUUGAUGCCUCAGCUGCCAAGCCUGCAGCAUUAACACACUUGAUUUAGUCAGAUAUUUGUAAGUGUUAAUAUAAUCUUUUCAAGAAAUGGUCCAAAACUUCAACAAAAAAUCAAUUUUCUCUUUUUAUUUCUUACUAUCAUUGUUGCUAUACCUUUCCCAAGGGAAGGGUAGGGGUUCUCCAACAAAGCAAACCUGAGUUUUCCUUCAAUCUGCAAUUAAGACAACAAGAAUCUUAAAACAAAAAUUUAGGGCACCAACAAACAGAAAGAAGACCACAGCAAAACUUACGCAUCCUCAUCUUUAUAGCUGUCAAUGUUGCUACAAGAGCCACUGCAGAAGACAUAUGAAUCAUUUCCCACAAGACAUGUUUCAAAAGAUGUCCUGCUUGGCGCAAACCUGUUCUGUAGUUUGGUGCAAAAUGUCAUCUGGGAAGCAUCUGAUGAAUGCAACUUCUUCUGAAGCCUCAUAGUCCUAGGGAAACAGUUUGGUUGAUGUUCAGGUUCUUCAGACGAUAAAACCUGGCUUUCAUGGUUGCUAUCCUCUUCCUUCGAAGAAUCAACCAUUAACCCGGGUGCCUUUGAUGUAUCAUCUUCAAAUGAUCUACGGGAUGAGGCAGUCCUUGUGCUGAGUAUAUUUCCUUCACUAUUUCUCAAGGUACUUACAACCACCAUUCUGUCACGGCAGUUAUGUGGCAUUUGAUAGGCACAAUCAGAGGACAAUGUAAAAUAGGUCUGUUACUUAUAUAGGCUUUUCAGAUGUGUACUCAGAAUAGUCUGAAUCACUUCCACGUCCAGUAGAUGAUUGUGACUUCUGCUGUAUUCUGCGGGAACAGCUGAACAACCUAAAAGAUGGCUUCUUCACUUUUGCAUACUUAGAAUCAGAAGCACAAGGUACAAGAUUGAUCCUGACCUCCACAUUACAACCAAAUAUAGAUUGAAGUGAACUGGCAAUGAUCUUCCAUGACUUCUCAGCCUUAGAUACAUAAUCAGGAUGGCAGAAUUCCAAUUCAGCAAUUGCUAAACCUAAAAUUGAGCAUUACUCUGUUAGUGCCAUGAGCAUAAGAAAACCCAUUUCUUAUAAGAGCCGAUGUUUAUGAUUAUAAACCUAAGUCAGCUAAAACAGUUCGCAUGUAUGGAAAUGUGAUCUAACAAGCGCAAGCUAAGAAUAUAAAGUUGCUGAUACAUAUCUUCUUGAAAUGUCUCCCCUGGCUUUCAUAUAUGUUCAAAUGUGAUUUCACCAUAGAAUUAGUGAUGAAAUUCUAGAUGUAUGUACCUUGGCUAACAAGCAAGGAAGAUAAUUUUCCUUGUUUCUUCAGAAAAUUCUUGAGUGAAUUGGAUUGGCAUGAAUCUGUAGCUCUCUUCCAUAUGGAUUCCAACUUUCCAUCACUAUCCUUCUGCAUUCCCAACUUGUCCGGUAUAUCGACAUUGCAUGAACAAGUGACAAGGGUCUUGAAGCUCUCCCCUGUGGAUGAUGUACCACAAAACUUGAUAUCAAACUUUUACCAAACUAACCACUUGAACUUACGGAAAAUAAAAGGCAUUUCCAUGAACAGAAUUAAAAUAGAAGCUAUUCAUCACAAUCGGAAUCAGCUAAUGUAAUUAUUCUCACCUCUGUCUUGCGUACUUCUCAAACACAACUUUGUAUCAUUACCAUCCAAGGAAGAAGACUCCACAGAGCUUAGCUGCAGCAGAGCUGCAGUAAGCCAUGUCAUUUGAUUUUUGGACACCCUUAAUUGCUUCUCAGUUUCAGAGAAUAUUUUCAAAGCAUGACUCAGUUUCUGCAAGUCCACCUCAGCUGUGACAGAGGAAAUAGAAAGAAUACCACCAUAGUAUAAGUGUAUAACUAUAAGAUGACACAGUAAUUAACUGCAGUAAACAUAAUGCAGGAACCACGACAACCAGCCAACAUAUUUUAAAACCAAAUUCUUCAAGGUACAUUGAAGGAACAAUAAGCAUAUUAUAAUAUUAACUUAUAAGGGCAAUGCAUGAGCAACUUAUAUAAGAUGACCUCUUGAAACAAGAAUAUGAUUUGAAGCAGAGAAGACAGAGUGGUAAUAACUAAGUACAGUUUAUAAUGUAUAAAAACCAUUAGUGGAGUACUUGAAAAAUCAUUAAUAAUUAAUUUCGUUUACAGUAGUAAGUUAUGACCAAAAUCAAACAAAAUUUAGGGUCUAAGACAGCAUGCUUAAAGAACUUUCAUUUCCUGUACAAAAUUCUGAAGUGAUCUUCAGGAAGCAUGCGACCAUAUUUAACUACUUACAUGUAUGCCUGCUAGAGAACCUUUUCUGGACUUCAGAAGCACCAUCCUGACAUUUACCAGCUAGAAUAUCCAUAACAAGAUUUGCCAGCUGCGAUAUGAGUUGCAUGGGAUCAACCCGGGAUCUCAUCAACUCCCUGGCCCUUAUUACUGUACUAGAUGUGUCAGAUGAUAAUGCCAGAUCAAGCAAACCAAGUAAUUCAUCAUCGGAGACAACUCCAAUCUGCAUAACAAUAUAAGGGAUUUUUUUUUUGUAAAUACUGGAUAUAUAGACUGCGCUAUAUAUAAAAGUAAUUAGUAUGAAUAAAUAAAAACUUCCAAGGACUCACAAAUUCGUAUGCCUGGGCCAUUGUGAUUUUUUUACCAAGCAAACUUAGCUGAUCAAGCAUCAUCUCUGCAUCCCUAAGAGAACCAUUUGAAUUGGAAGCAAUGAAGCCUAAAGCACCUUGAUCAAAUUCAAGACCCUCUUCAACACAGAUUUUCCCUAAUUUUUUUGCAACAUCAGCAUCUUUAAGCUUUGGAAAGUGAUAUCUUUGAGACCGUGACACUGCACUUCGUGGAAGCUUAUCGAUGUCAGGAGUGAUCAUCACGAAGACAACAUGUUGAGAAAGGUUAUCUAUGCUAUUCAAAACAGUCGCCCAUGUUUCCCCACGCAUCAAGUGGCACUCAUCAAUAAUGAAAACCUUAAAACGUGACGAAACUGGAGGUAUAGCUGCAUUCUUAAUAAGGGAUCUAACCCUGUCUCUUCGAUUGAUUCUCACAGAAUCUACUUCCUUAAUGUCUCUACUCCUUCCAGAAAAGAAGGAAACACAUUCACAGCAGAGACCACAUGGCCUAUGCUCCUCAUGUGAAAGGCAAUUUAGUGCCGCAGCAAAAAUCCUUGAGGCAGAUGUCUUUCCUGUACCACGCGGGCCAUGGAACAUAUAGACUGAGGUUAUUCUUCCUCUAGAGAUAGCACCCAAAAGAGACCUCGCUACUAAAUUUUGUCCCACCAAUUCAUUAAAAAAAUUUGGCCUGAAUUUCUGACUCAGACUCCUAGGAUUUUCUGAUAGUGGGUUAGUUUUAUUACCAAUGUGUUUCAAGCUCCUCUGCUCAUAAAGUACACUCUCAUCUACAUUCUUGUAUAACAAAGGAUAUUCAUCUACAUCCAAAGAACGGUUAGCUUCUCUGAAUCUAGGGGUUCUUGACCAGCAGCAGCUGACCUCACAACUAGGACGAUUGCAAUCUACAGCAUCAACCGCUUCAUUUGCAAAUAAAGAUGCACUAUGGCUUGAUAUAGCAUCACUAGCUGAGGGGCAUGGACUGCCUACUUCACUUGUAACCUCACCAACUUCCCCACAUGAAUUUACACGAUUGUUGCACUGUGAUUUUCGCUUUGAUGUAAUCUGAUCUGUUCUUUCUAAAUAUGAUGAUCUGACAUCUGCUUCAUAAUCCACAUCCUCCAAAGUAUUGACACGUGUCAAGACCAAUCCUGUAUCCAUUUGACUACUGCAGUAUCUAUCACUGAGUGAUUUAUUUCCACAAACCUCUUCCUUAUCUGAUUCUGAAAAAUCAAAUUCUUCAGCCUGUUUGCUCCUAAUAGGACGACUCCCUGUGCUUCCAACCCACUCUGAAUUCUCAUGCAAGAUCAACCUAGAUUUUUCCAAAUCACAAUCUAGCUCAAAAUCAUCUAAGAAAUCUCCUCUGUGUCUGUAGAAACCCAAAUUCUUUGGUCUCAAAGAACGAUGUUGGUCAGAGCCACCUUCUUGGAAAGUAUUCGUGAAUCGCAUUGAAAUGUCAUUACUUGAAUUUGUUUCCCAAUUUACAUUCUCAAGUGGAGCAGAGAAUUUGCUCAUAGAAUUAGUUGAUGGAUCCCUUAGAGACCUCACCCUCCUCAGUGCCACAAGAGUUUUAGAAAUAGGAAGAUCAACAGAAUGCCGCCGCCCAUCCAUCAUUUUCUCGGACAGAAAAUAACAAUCAAACACAAGAACUCAAAGAAACACCAAAAUUUACCAUGAAAUUUCAAAUUUCAGGACUCAAAAGGACCUGCGCAUUCCCAACCUGAAAGAGGCAAGGCAGUAACACCAGAGAAAACCUCUUAAUCAAAAACAGGUAAAGAACUGUAGUGGAUUUAACUUUCCACAGAGAAACCAAAACCACAAAAUGGUAGACGAAACAAUUUUUUUCAAAAAUUCAAAACUAAUGUUAAGUUCUGUCAUUCACUGUCUGAAAGACCAAUCAGUGAGCAAAAGAAGGGGGGAGGGGAGCAAGAAACAACGAAUACACUGAUUUCUCAUCAAAGGCAUUCAAAAUUGCCAUUUUAGAGAAAACAAAAAUCAAAACUUGAGCAUUCACAGAAGUACAUAACACCGUUACAGAAUAACACCAUGGAAUUCAUAAAAAGCUCUUUCAUCCUACCUCUGGAUAACAAAACGAAAAACCCACAAAGCCAUUCCCAAGAAAAAGCAUCAAAACUCACCCACAUGCAGUAAACAAGCAUUGCUGAUUAAUACAUUCCACCAAAAGCUGCAAGCCCAUUCCCAUUAGUCAACUAAAAACCACCAUCAUCCAGCUCAACACCACACAGUCUACACAGAGAGAGAGAGAGAGAGAGAGAGAGAGAGAGAGAGAGAGAGAGUCAAAGAAAGAAUCUACAGUUCCAAAAUAAACAAUAAAAAUAUUCAAACGCAGAAAAAAAAACAAUGCGAAACGACAAAGAUGAGAAAAAAAGCCCAAACCUUUCGAAAUAGAAAUAAUCAAAAACCUCUUGGAACUUGACGAUAUUUUUCAAAGGGGUAGCGUAGAAAGCGGAGCAGAUUAAAUAAAACCCUAACCCUAAAACAGAGGUCUUGGUGGUUGAGCUCCGUUGUCGUGGACAAGCAUAGGUAGGGGAAGAAGAUAGAGGCGCGGAAGUGGCAGAGUAGUAAAUGUAAUAAAUGUGAGGGGCGGUUAGGUCUAGGCAUGCCAUUGCUUGUGAGCGAGGAGCCGACGUGGACAGAGAGGAGAGGACACAGCUAAAUUCUGAGUCAGAAAUUUUCUGAUGCUUUGUUGCAGAGUUUGUGCAGAGAAAAUAGGAGCGUAGGUCUGCUUGUCAGUCUCGGAGAGUGAGCUCUUCAGGGGUUUUAUGGUCAUUUCAGCACUCGGCGGUCUUUCAGUUUAUAGUUUACCCCGGGAAAACGAUGUACUGUAUGUCUCUGUACCUGACGGAUAAUUCAGUUGGAUGACUUGGCCACCGGGCAUGAAUGACACGUGUCAGAAAAAUUGUACACAGGUGCUGUGCUGGGCUUUGUAUUUUUUCGGUGAUAUUGCCUUGGUCUGUUUGUUUACCGGGAAACCGGAGGAAAAUGCCAAGAAAAUUCAAAUUCGAAUGAGAUUUAUAUAAUGCAACAAGGACUUUGUGGCAGAAGUGAAUUACUUAUAAAUUUAUAGCGUGGCCCCUGCGGAAUUUAAUAAACAAUAACAUUAACUUCACACAUCAACCACGUUAGAAAACAGUGGUAAAAUACUAGUUUUGUACACCAAGUUUUGGAACUAGGUGCAAAAAUAAUCAAAUGGAUAAUGUUUCCAAUGUGAGAUUAAUAUCAAAAUAUUAUCACCUAGGUAAAAGAUCAAAAUGCUAUUUUGGAUUCUGGGAAUUUGAAUUCUAGUCUUGUUACUAAAAGCAUUGCCUCCUCCACCAUUCAUCUCAUCCAUGUUAUUUUUAGGCAAGGCAUACCUAUUUGUUUGUUUUUUAACUCAUCAUUUUUAGUUAGAGCGUAAACUAGCUUGUUAUAGUUUGAAUUUGACUCGUAUUUUGGCUUGAUUCUGACUUUUUAAGUAAUAUUAUGCAAGAUGAGUUUGAGAAUCUUGGUGUUUAGUUGAGCACUUAUAUAAUUACAUCCUAAUUUUAAACAUGACAUGACGCGAUGUGAUUGUUAAACAUGUUAUAUUUAAGUUAGGCAAGUUAACAUGGUACGUAAAUUGUCAAUAAUUAUGUUAAAUGAGACGGCAUGUUUUUUACACAAACACAAUUAUAACUCGAAAAACGAUCGUAUCCAAUACUAACUCACUGACUUCUUGUUGUUCCUUGAGUUAUGUCCAAAAUUUGCAUUUUCUGCAUAAUAUGCAAUAGUUUCAUAUGAUCUUGUUGUUGUUGUUUGAAGCUGCCCACUAAUGACAAUCACUAGAUCUUGCUCCACUCUCUAGAGUAGCAAACCCCCCACCCUCUAAUGUGUACCUGCAUGCAGAAAGGAACAGUCACUUUGUAGCUAGCUUCAUGAGAAGUAUGGAGAUGUAUCUAUAUAUAUAUAUAUCUCUCUCCAUGCCUUGCAGCUUUUGAAUUUGGUGUGCAAAAAAGUAUUGGCAUGUGACAUGAUGGCUUUAUGAAAAAAGUGACACACCAUAAUUAACUCUUUGCAUAUAACUGGGCAAGACAGCCUUCAUUGCUGCAACCUGUAUUCUGAAUAUGUCGUGUUUAUUUUGAGCCAAUAGGUGUAUGCAGUUAAAGUUUGCAUUUCUGACAUUACUGGCUUCAAUUGAGACAGAAGACCAGCUCACAUGCUGCCGACCUAACUUAACUCAACCCAACUCGACCCGAACCAACUCAACCCAACCCAGUAGAGCUGUAGAAAUAUAAAGGGCUGGUACAGUCAAUAUGAGCCAAUCAGUCUUGUACAGGUCUCUUAGAUUCUGGCCCUCUUUUGGGUUGGGCCAGGCAGGCCUAAAUGUUGAGGUAAAAUUUGGGCUGGGCCAGAUCAUAAUUGAGCAUAUGAGAAAAAUAAACAAAAAAUAAAUAAGAAAGUGGUUGUAUAUUUUUGUGAGAGCACCAAAUAUCGAUGAAUUCAAAAGGGGAGACAUGUGAGCAGUCUCAUUCGAUCAAGGGAAUUGUCCUGAACGUUGCCAACAUCCUCUUCACAAUUUCAGAUUCUCAGAGUGUUUAUGAGAGAGAGAGAGAGAGAGAGAGGGACCAUUGAAAUUGCGGUGAGCUGCUCCAAGUUUAGGUUUUCACAUUCCACACGAAUUCUCCGGGAUUCAAAUUUCUCUGCAGCUUUCGAUUUUCUAGACCUAUACAAAUAUUCUAGUUAAAUAUGCAUUUGUCAGUACAUGGAUACUUUUUUGCUGUUGGAUGUUUUUGACAAGAAAAAUAAAAAUAUAAAAUACAGUAAUGAUCUCACACGUACAUUAAUAUUUAGUGAUAUCGUAUAUCAUACCCUUUUCAAUUAAGUCAUUUUUCGUUCAUAUCAUCAGAAUCUUUGAUCUAAUUUUGUUCAAAUAAAGCAAAGAGCUUGUAGCUCAUAUACUUCGAAUAUUCUGUUCGAUUUCUCCUUACUCAAAUAUCGAUUAUGUACAAUUCAAAUAACUAGUCCUUGAUCUACUUAAUCACAAAGUAUUAUUUGAAUUAAGUGGUAUAGUAUUUGUGCGUUUCUUUACGAUUUCUCUCUGUUUUAACAUCUGUUUUCAGUUAAGUUUGCAAAGAGAAUUAUUAUACUUAUUUUGAAUUAAUUAAGAAUUGGAGAUCUGAUACCAUUUGGUUGUUGUUGGUUGGACAAAAUUGUCUGGUUCAUAUUUAACCAUUUUAUUUAUUAUUUAAUUUCCUGCAUGCAUGAAGAGUGCAUGACAGAGUUGUCUUUGAAAAUGGCGAAAGCAGUGGUGGCCGUUGGAAAAUCAUGGAGACUCACGAGAGAGUAACAACAAAAUGAGACAACCUGUAAACCGCGUGUUAAGUUAAGCUAAGCUGAACUAAAUAGCUAAUUAGCCGAUUUAGAAGGACCAACUCUGCAAAUAUUUUAUCAUUAAUCUCCUUGAUACUCAUUUAUGGCCUCUUGCUAAUAUUGUUUUCUUUCCUGCUUGAUAUGCCCUUGAUUUACUCCUCCAUAUAUAUUCUUCCAUUUUCGUGGAUUCCCAUAUCUUUUUCUUCUCCCAUAAAUUUUGCUCAAGAAAACAUGGAGAUUUCUGUAAUGGCAUUGGGGCAGAAGUAUCCCCACCCAUGGAUCUAAUUUAAAGUGUAGAAGGGCAAAUUCAUUGUUCGUGAUUCGAACUUGAGCGUAAAAGGACGAGCUCACUAUCCUGAUCAAUUGACCUAACUCAUGUUUGUAUAAUAUAUUGCAUUAAUGUUGCCGAAAGUUUAGGGUGCGAACUAACUUUCAACGAAAGCACACAUAAACCAUAAUCAAAAGCCUUUGAUUUGCAAACCGAAUAGAGAAAAGGAAUACGGCAAUUUCAAGAAAAUAACAGGACAAUACUUGUAACCAAAGAAAAUAUGAAAACAACAGGACAAUAAUACGACACGUGAGCUGUGAGCAUGACCCUUGGUCUACGACAAAGUACAAACCCAACCACAUGAGAUCGACUGCUCAGGAUAUCAUCGCCACUAAAAUCUAAUAAAUAUAUUUUGGCAAUUUAGAAAAAAGCCAGAAAAAGAAAACCAAUGGAUUGGAAAUUUCAGAGUAAAUAAGAGGCUCUGUUUCCUUCUGUCUCUGCCCAGCGCGAGAAAAUUGCUCACUUUUUCACUUCAAACCCUCUGUCUUCACUCAGCAAACAGUAGAAGAAAAUAGGAAUGUCAAUUUGCUGCUUCUGAUCUUCAAAUCCCACAGGACUAGUCGCAGAGAGAGAGAGAGAGAGAGAGGAGAGAGAGAAUGGGUGGGGUUACUUCAUCCAUGGCUGCAAAGUUUGCCUUUUUCCCACCCAACCCACCAUCCUACAAGGUAGUUAAAGACGAAGCCACUGGUCUCUUGCUCAUGGACCCUCUUCCUCAUCGUGAAAACGUCGACGUUUUGAAGUUUCCCACUCGCCGCGGCAAUGAGAUCGUGGCCGUUUAUAUACGCCACCCAAUGGCCACCUCUACCCUGCUGUACUCUCAUGGCAACGCCACUGAUAUCGGUCAAAUGUACGAGCUUUUCAUCGAAUUGAGCAUUCACCUCCGCGUCAAUCUCAUGGGGUAUAAUUUCGCUCUACCCUUUACUCCAAUUUUAAAGCUUUUGUUUUUUUAUCUGCUGUUUUGGUUUUGUGUCCUUGUGUCUGUGAUUGGUUUUCUCAUUCUGAAGAGGGUGCGUUGAUGAAAUUGUGGUGAAUUAGAAAUACCAGUUGAGAAAUUUUGGAAAGUUUGCAUUUUUGUAUUGAUUGGAAUUGGGGGUGUGCCAUAAGAUAUUUGUGGAUUGUUAUUCAUGAUUUGAUUUAGAAAUAUGAAUAUCUUAAGAAUUCUGAUUUAGAUAUACAAGUAUCUUAAGAGUUCUGUUUAGCUCAAGUAGUGUUUUGGCUCAUUCAAUCAAUUAGCAAUGAAGUUGGAAUAACAAAGCGGUUUGGGAUCUACAGUUUAACUGGAAGAGGUUUUAUAAAUGAAUAUCAGAAGUAGGUGAACCUAAAUGUACACGGUUGGAAGCUGGGACAGUUAAUUUUUAAUUGUCAAGGUUAUAGAAGCAAAAAAUUUGUUUAUGAACUGCCCAGUGCCCAUUAAGAAGUUAGUUAGACUGCUUAUUCUGUGGUAUAUCAUAUUGAACUAAAUUUCACUAUUUCCUCCCAUCGAAUCAAAUUUUGGUUAUUUGACUUAAAAUGGAAACACAAGUACCUGAAGAAAACGUGAAAGUUCAACUGGCAUUCACUUCAAUAGCUCAGAGGCUAGCCAUGAAGGCGAAUCUCCUUUACCCAUGCACAUUUUGUUAUAUCAGCCGGGAUCCUGAUUGUAUGCAAACCUAGGUUUCAAGUGCAAUUGUUUAAUUGAACUAAUUUGAUUUUACCACAUUAUUUGGAAAACACGGAAAACAUUCUGAACCAUAUUAUUUGAACGUGGGCAGGUAUGAUUACUCUGGCUAUGGACAGUCAUCAGGCAAGGUAAGUGCCGUAUGAAUCAUGUAUUUGUCGUGAUUCAAAUUCUACUACACAGGUUUAUCUGAUGCUCAUUUGUAAACCUUUCUGCAGCCAAGUGAACAUAAUACUUAUGCAGAUAUUGAAGCUGCAUAUAAGUGUCUUGAAGAGAGGUAUGGGGCUAAGCAGGAAGACAUAAUCCUCUAUGGUCAGUCUGUUGGAAGCGGUCCUACUGUUGAUCUUGCUGCCCGUUUGCCUCGACUGAGAGCAAUUGUUUUGCAUAGCCCUAUAUUAUCAGGUUUAAGAGUCAUGUAUCCUGUGAAACGCACGUACUGGUUUGAUAUCUAUAAGGUUAGAUUCUUGAUAUCAAUUUUGGUGAAGACUUUUAUUGAAUUACUUUAUAUUGAGAAUGGUGAUGCAUAUGUACAUGUCUGAACCUGAUUUUCAUUUAUGUGCAGAACAUUGAUAAAAUCCCUCUGGUGAAAUGUCCUGUGCUGGUAAUACAUGUAAGUACUCUACAAUUAUUAUUUUGCCUCUGCUGUGAAAUGAAGUGAUUGCUGGAAUGUUACUAUUUUCCAUAUGUUUGACAUCUCAUUAAUUUCAUUUUUCGUAGAUGAUUAAAGCAGAAUUAUCAUGCAUUUAUAUUUGCAAUCUCAUGCUGAAGGAUCCAUCUGAAAUCAAUUAGAAAAAAGUUGAUGUUGUUUAAUCUUGGAUUUCACCACAAAUUUUGAAUUUCUUUUUUUUGACAUUUUGUGUUUGUUAUUCUUCUCCAGGGAACAGCUGAUGAAGUUGUCGACUGCUCACACGGCAAGCAACUUUGGGUACUGUGUCAAGAGAAAUAUGAACCUCUAUGGCUAAAAGGCGGAAGUCACUGUAAUUUGGAACUGUAUCCAGAAUAUCUUAGACAUCUCAAUAAGUUCAUAUCAACUGUUGAAAAAUCAGCUUCGCGAAGGAUUAGUUCUAGAAAAAGCACAGACCAUAGGAAAAGCACGGACCGCAUCGAACUUCCUAGGAGGAGUGUUGAUUUUUUUGAGGCUCCAAGGAAGAGUACUGAUCGGAGAGAGAAAUCAAGGAAGAGCACUGAUAGACCCGAAAAGCUGAAAUUUAGUGAAUACAAGUUUAAUAACGUUGACAAGGUAGAUAAGUUUAGGAUCUCUGCUGACCAGAUAGAGAGGUCACGAAGAAGCGUGGAAUACCAUCACGAGAAAUCUAGGAGAAGCAUUGACCAUCAGCUAGAAAAAGCGCGGAAGAGCGUUGACUGGCUGGACAGAAUUCGAGCUGGGUAAAUCUCCGGUGAAACUUUGUAUUGGGUUGGGAUAAAGAAACAUAGAACAAGUGGGGUGGGGAAAUUAUUUGGGAUCUAACUUAAGGUUGUAGAGUUUGUGGUUUCAGCCAAAGUUUGUGGUUUCAGGAUGUGUAUCUUUGUUAUUUUAUGUAACUUUGUCAUGGCUUGUAGAGUUUUAAUGUGUUCUUUUGGGUGUCAUUGCCCCUUGAUUGUUAAUGAAAGAACUCUAACCUCUUUGUUUCUCAUAAUUGAAAGGAAAUGAAGCUCAUGGUUCACAAGGGGAACUGUAGAAAAUGAUACAUGGCAAUGACCUUUGAUAGUCUUGGCAAUUUUGUUUUUUGUUCAUUCAAAGGGGUAAUAAUCAAAAUCAAACUUGUCGCAUUUUGUUAUAGCCUUAUGGCAAUUGUGCUUUUCCUUUUUCCCUUUUUCUGUUUCUACUAUGAAUUUAUGUGAAGAGAGAUUCGAACUCGGGUGCAAGAGUAAGCAGGCCUAACCCAUUCCAUUUUGUUUUUGGCUCCCAUUAGAGUUCAAGUGAAGCAACACAAUUGAAACAACGAGAAUUUGAUUCAAUAAACUAUUAUCUAUCAAUUAUAAUUAAUUGAUUGAAAAAUUGGAGAUUUAAAAAAUAAAAAUAAAAAAAUUCACCAAGCUUAAAGCGAAAACGUUGUCGUUUUGGUUAUUGCCUCGCCAUACAACACCCGCGUCUCCUUCUCCUUCGUUCGCCUGCCUCCUCCGACUUCAUUUUUUUGGGUUGGAUCUCUAGCAGUCUACGCAACCCCUGCUUUUUCCGGGACACAGUUGGAAUUUGCAUUCCAUUCUUUUCGAUUUUUCCAAUUUCUCAAGGACUUUGAGUUCCCGUUUCUUUGAGGUUAAAGGCCUAUCAGAAUUUUCACAUUCCGGAAUUACCCCUGCGCCUUUAGCAACAUGAUUGCAUCCUCUUCGUGAAGCCCUAACACCAUCGAUUGCUUUGGCACAGUACUCGAUUCGAUCACAAUGUAAGUAUGGCUCACUUCAAUCAACUCGUCGUUUUGGUCUUCAAGUAGAGUUUUGCGUGAUUUUGCUUUCACAAAGUUUCAUGAAUUUUCUUUUUGAUCGAUUUCUCAGCUGCCAAACAGAGAUGACUAUAUACUGUAGAGAAGUUUAUUAUGCUCAGUCAACUUUGUUUGUGCAGGUCACAGGAGGAGAUAGCAAGGGAAGCGAUAAAGCACGCACUGAAGGCUCUUCGGAAGCGGCAUUUGCUCGAAGAAGGUGCUCAUGCUCCGGCUUUUAUCGCUCUUGCGAGGCCAAUUGCUCAUCAGGUCUUCUCUUAGUUCCUUACAAGCUAGGAUUUAGGGUUUUGGUGCUGCUUAAAAAUUCUCGAUUAAGACAGAUAAUUAAUAUUCAUGGGCUUUGGUGCUGCUUAAUUUGAUGUUCAAGGUCAUCAGUUUCCAUGCAAUUAAAAUGCUUACAAAUUUGGCUUCUUUUUUGUCUUUUGAUUGUUUUGAAUUAGAUAUUGAGUUACUUUUGAAUGUCUUUGAAAGGGCUCAGAAUGGAAGGAGAAAGCAGAGAGUUUGGAACUCGAACUUCAGCAAUGUUACAAAGCUCAAUCUCGAUUGUCCGAGCAACUUGUGGUGGAAGUAGCAGAGUCCAGAGCUUCAAAAGCUUCACUUCAAGAGAAAGAAGCAGCAGUGGCUGAUCUCCAAAAGGAGUUAACAGAAAAAAGGUUGACUUUUUUAACUAGUAAUAGCAAGCGAGAUGCUUUUCAGAUUUCAAGAUUCUGUAUGAUUGAUUGCAAUUGUUGCAGGGAUGAAUGCUCUCAAUUAACGGUUGACUUAGAAGAGAAGAUUAAAGCCUUAGAAUUGGUUGUGAGUGAGAACAAGGAAAUAAGAGCGCAGCUUGAAGAAAUGUCUAUUAGAGCUAAGAAUGCUGAGGCUGAAAGUAAGGUGUUAAUUGACCGCUGGAUGUUGGAAAAGAUGAAGGAUGCUGAACGCCUUAACGAGGUAUGUAUAUCAGUUUUAUAAUCAGACUGAACUUUUGGUUUGGUAUAAUAGAUACCUUUGGUUUGGUAUAAUAGAUACCAGUAGAUGUCAAUUGCUUUAAGGUGUGAUAUUAUGUUAAAAGACUAGAAACAUAGCUAUAAUGCCUUAGUCUCCUGGGUUGAUGUUUCUCGAGGCUCUGAUUAAUCUCGUGGCUUGCUGUAAGUGGUACCAAGUAUUGACAUUCACUCUUUUUAUGUUGGAUGACUAGGCCAAUUUGUGCUUAACUGCAUACAUAUGUAUUCUUGCCAUUGUCAUAAGUUCUACGGAAGUACUAGAAAAACCUAAAUAAAAAACAAUGGUGUAUUUUAGCUAAUCAAUUAGGAUAUUUGUUGGCAUGGGCGUUGCCCCUUUCUUUCAUGAGUUUUGAUUAUUAUUUGACGUAACAUAAAGCCUUCAGAAAGUAUAUGUGAUAUUUUGUUGUUUUGUUUUCCAGUGUAUAAGAGUAGGAUUUUGAUUUUCUUUGGCUCUUGAAAGGGAUUUGUUUAUAAAUUUUCUACCUGUUUUACAUAUAAUGUAUAUUGGGGUAACUCAGUUUUUCUUUAUUUAAUUUAGGCAAAUGCACUCUAUGAAGAUAUGAUUGAGCGGCUCAGGGCCAGUGGUCUGGAAAAACUUGCUAGGCAGCAAGUAGAUGGUGUGGUCCGCCAAAGUGAAGAAGGUGCUGAGUACUUUGUGGAGUCAACAAUUCCCUCUGCAUGCAAGAGCAGGAUCCAUGCCCAUGAAGGUGGCUGUGCUUCCAUAUUAUUUGAGUACAAUUCUGGCAAAUUGAUUACUGGAGGACAGGAUGGGUCCAUCAAAAUGUGGGAUACAAACACUGGGGCACUAAAUCAUACACUUCAUGGUUGCAUUGGUUCCGUUCUUGAUAUUACCAUUACCCAUGAUAAUAGAUCUAUCAUUGCAGCAAGCAGCUCAAACAAAUUGUAUGCCUGGGAUGUUAGCUCGGGGAGGGUUCGCCAUACUCUCACUGGCCACAUGGAUAAAGUAUGUGCUGUAGAUGUUAGCAAUUCAAGUCGUCAUGUUGUGAGUGCAGCCUAUGAUCGUACCAUAAAAGUAUGGGAUUUGCAGAAAGGUUACUGCACCAACACAAUUAUUUUCCCCAAAAACUGCAAUGCUCUUUGCUUCAGCAUGGAUGGACAAACCAUAUGUUCUGGGCACGUUGAUGGAAACCUUCGCUUGUGGGAUAUUGAGAAGGGAAAGCUACUCAGUGAAGUAGCUGCACAUUCAAAUGCUGUUACAUCCAUAUCUUUGUCCCGAAAUGGCAACGUUGUUUUGACAAGUGGGAGAGACAACGUGCAUAAUUUGUUUGAUAUGCGGUCUCUGGAAGUCUGCGGCACAUUAAGAGCCACAGGAAACAGAGUGGCGUCUAACUGGAGCCGGUCCUGUAUCAGUCCAGACGACAAUUAUGUUGCCGCUGGAUCUGCCGAUGGUUCUGUGUAUAUUUGGUCAAUCUCUAAGGCCGACAUUGUGAGCACUCUGAAGGAACACACUGCAUCUGUGCUGUGUUGUUCAUGGAGUGGGCAUGGAAAACCUCUAGCUUCUGCGGACAAGAACGGCAUUGUUUGCACUUGGGCGUGAAUCGUUUGGCUGAGGCCGUCUAUUCUUGUUUCCACAAGACACAUCUCACUCAUACAUAAUGUACACAAGUGUUAUUAGAUUUGGUGUAAAUAUUUGAUUGAUUCAUCUCGAAUUGUACCAUGUGUGCAGUCAUUCUUCUCUCUUUCUCAUACAAAGUUCCUGAAUAAAUCUUAUUCAUUUUUUUUCUGUUCUUGUUUCUUGGCCAUAGUUGAGAGUAGGCUUAGCUAUGCCAAUUGCCACUAUAAAUUAUGAUUCAAACAAUAUUAAAUACUUUAAAUCAAAUUUGCCAAUUUUACAAUAACUUCCAUUCUAUAUGAAAAAUUCCAAUAAUUAAUCCUUACCCAUAAUAGCUUUCUUGGCCCUAGAAAAAUAAAAUUUAAAAAAAAAAAAAAAAAAACCCUAUCUAAUCUGUUGUUCAAACUUCAAAUGGGCCAAAUAACAACCAUGGAAUCAUUCCUCAAUCGGGCCCAACAGGGAGUGGAGCUUCUCUACCUAGUUACUAUAAAGCAUUCUGGGGUUUGGAUUCGACCCGUUUUCGAUAACGGAAAGUCCUGCCGGUGGUCUCACUCUCUGGCCUGAAACCUAAAACGGAGAUUGGAAGAAGUGAAAGAGAAGCUGAACGAUGGUGAAGGUAGCAACCUACUUUGCUAUGACUUUGGGAGCUUUUGUGUUCUGGCAAUCCAUGGAUAAAGUCCACGUCUGGAUCGCUCUCCAUCAGGACGAAAAGGUAAAAAACUCUUCUUUCUCAUCAUCGCAAUUUCUCUUUCGAAUUGGGCUGAGAAUGUUGGUAAUUUUGAAUUUGUAUUUAGGAUUUCAAUUCAAUUUCAGCUCCAGAAGCUCAAACAUUGAGAUGGGUCAUAAUUAAAUUGCUCAAUUCUUCGUGAAAAAUGUUAUUUUGAUGAGUGAAAUGACAUGAAAUUUGGGGGGGUUAGGUUUGCUUAAAAUGUAGUUACUGUUUCCUACCUUUGAGCUUGAUUUAUUCAUUAAUUGUUUUCUUGUCAAUCAAGAGGGUAAUGCUUGGUUAAUGGGGAUUGAGGAACAUAGUUGAACUUGGAAUUUCUCCUUAAUCAUUGUUAUUAUGCUAUAUUUAUGCAAUAUAGUGACACUCCUGUGUAGAUUAAACCUUUAUGAGUUAGAGCCAAUUCUUAUUCAUGGAUUUCUUAUAUGGAGCUCGUCUUCCAUGGUGGAUUGUGUGUUUCCUCGUGUGUUGCUUAUUAUCUUUACUAGUUGGGUUACUUGUGUUUCGUUUGUUUCUUUUAAACCACGUACAUAUUGCAUGCCAUACUUUGGGUAGAAAGCACAAAAUUGUGUAACAGAGAAAAAAGCAUUUGCAUUUUGGAGUAAUAAAACCAUUUGUAAUUAGAUUAAUAUUCAAAUGAUAGCAGGAAGCUAUUAUAUUGUGCUUACCUUUUCAAUGAACCUUUUUAGUUGAUCUUCUCUUAUCUUCACAUAUGGAUCAUUGUGUUUUGGUGUUUUGGUAUUGAUUUCCUUUCAAAAUCUUCCAUUCUUCGAUACUGAUUUGGGUCUGCUACUGUGUCAGCAAGAAAGACUGGAAAGGGAAUUGGAAAUUAAGAGGGUUAGAGAAGAGCUGCUGCAGCAAGCCAAACAAAGGGAGACUCAAGCAUGAUCUACUCGAUUGAUUUUCUUGUACCCUGGUUUCCCUUUGUUUCCUCUACUUCUGAUUUUGUUUGAGCAUAGCUCUCUUGAACAGUCUCAUGGUUCUGGAAUAAUUUAACUUGGCAUUCAUGGGAUAGCUAAGUUUUGUCGUAUGAAUGACUUUGUGUAAGAUUUCGAAAAUGAUAUCAUAUUUUUCAAUGUUAUAGUGACGCUUUGAAAUGUUAAUUACCUUAUGUUCAGGCACAAUUAGAAACAAGUUGUUGGAAUAUUGUCUAUAUUUUCCUUUAUCUUCAGGCAUGAAUUCUUGAUGUUAGAUAUUCUGUUACUUACCAAAUCAUCAAUGUCAUCAGUGAUUUUAGUUGCAUCUCAUCUCCUGACUUGUUUGACUUGCUAGCUCCAUUUCCUUAGAGAUGAAACUACGAUCACUUUCCCCCCAGUUUCCACCGUAAACUUUUUAACAGCAUGAAGUCCUCAAGCCAUCCUCAUUGUGAGGUUGUUGCUUUCCUGUGAAAGGGUAUCUUUCACUACAAGAUGCGCUAGAUUUCUAUUGCUGUCAUUAGAGGUUUUUGUUAUUUCUUUCAUAUUUAUGACCUUCAUUCCUUUGGCUUCCUCUUUAAUGUACACACUUGUACCUUCUCUCUUUAGAUUGGUUUGUGAAAGUUGGUUAUCAAAAGCACUGCAUGUUUUUCUUGAUAAGCUGCACUGGUUUGCACUUUACAUGGUCACGCAGCAAUACACAGACGAGCUAGCCAGUUAGGCUUCAUGGCGUAUCAUUUUGAAUUUUGUGCUGCCUUUUCACAUACAGCCUCACACUUUGAAUCCAUCGAAUGAUUUGAAAGAUGAGGACAUACAAGCAGAGCCAUCAACAAACUAUUGUGCUAAAGUUGAAUGAGAUUGAGCCAUUGGUUGUGCAGAUAAGGUGUUCUUGCACACAGGCACUCUAAAAAUUAUUGAUGAAACCUACCCAACAGAUUUUGGAUUCUCCUGCUAACAGCUUUUGGAUUAUUGUUCAUUACAAAGAUUUUUUCUUCUCCCACACUUAAUUGACUUUUUUUUAUUUAUCACCAUUCUUAUUGAUCAUAAAUCAUCCUACCCAACAAACGUAGCAGUUCUCUUUCAUUUUUGUUGUUUUAUUUGUUAAUACACGUCCAUUCUAAUUCUUUUUUAUCUCUAACACCUAAAAUAUUGUUACAUGUCAAAUCAUUUGGUGAUGAAAUUGUUGCGUGCCACCUUAUGAUACGUGUCGCAUCAUUUGAUGCUUAAAAUUUUUGAGACAUUUUGUAGUGUAUAACAUUAUUGAAGGUUGUUUUUAAAGUUGUUCUUGUGUCUACAAAGAGAUACAAAUCGAUAAAGCCUCCCUCGCUUUUUUCCGUUUUGAUGAAAAAAAAGGCCGUCUCACUUUCUCUACAUGUACAAGUGACUAGUCGCCAAAUACACUACGCCCGCGUCUUUGUGUGUGAAGUACAAGCGAUGUUUUACUUCAACUGCCGACCUAGUCAAAUGGUUUGGACUUGUAUUUACAAGGUUGAGUCAUCUCUUUCUUUGAUUGCUUCGGCCUAAAGGAAUUUCUUGCAUCACAUGUUUCUCUAGGUUUCUAUAAUUUGGGAUCAUGUUUUUAGAAUCUUAUUGGCUGAAAUUAUGGAAUCAUCUUAAUCAUAAGGGAAAUUCUAGUUACGAUCUUGUAUUCAGUUCGAUCACAUGGAAACACAAUACCUAUUAUGUCAUAAUCACCCAUUGAGUGAUACAUUUGACCCUUGAGUCGGCACAUUAAAUUGCAAGAUUACUCAAAUAAAGAGUAUAUUAUCUAUCUUUUUUUUUAGCACAAGCGAUUGGGGGAGGAGGUUUACACAAAUAUUCAUUGGGUGCAUGGGGUUUUGAAUAUCAACCCACAUGGGUGGAGGUGAAAGAGUCCAACCAAUUGAGCUAUACCUCACUUAGUGAGUGGAUUAUCUUAAUCUAAACACAUUAAGCUUAACCACCAGGGAAAAGGCAAUUAAUUGACUACGCGACAAGCUCAAAACUAUCCAAUUGUUGCCUAUGCCUUGAGUUAAAAGAUGAUAAAGCAAGCAGUUAUCACCACCACUUUAUUUUCCACUCUGCAAAGUCGUGGCAAAAGGACUCAAUCUACGUAACCCAUGCUCCCUUUGCAUACAUGGUGAUGGUAUUAUAACGUGUUGGGCAUGUAAUCAACAGAGAGAUCAAGUCUAAAUGCCCACACAAGCUUUCCAUUUUGUAACUGCUAAAAUACCCAAAUUCUUGCUUCCUUUUUCAAAAGUUCAAAAGCCUCGUAUGAACAAAACUAACUAAUCUAGGGCAUUGCUUGCAGAACCAAAACCAAAACCCAUUUCCCACACAUCUUUUUAAACUCCACAAAACAAUCAUCACAGCCCAUACAUUUUGGCUCUUAAUUUUCCUCCAUUAUUUGAAGAAGUUUGAUUUCCACAAGGAACCUGCAACUUACUCUAUCCUUUCAUCAUCACCAUCAUCACUCUAAUUCUGUCCUGAAUUCUUUGAUCCUCUAUAUAAAGCAGCACUGAGGUCUCUGCAUUCUCAUUCUCAUCUUGUGUUCAAUCUUCAUAAGCCAAUAGAAAUGACUAAGUUUAUUUGGGUUGCUCUUGCUCUGUCACUUGCUUUGGUUGUUGGGGUUGCUCAGAGUUUCGACUUCCACGAGAAGGACUUGGCCUCUGAGGACAGCCUGUGGGAUUUGUAUGAGAGGUGGAGGAGCCAUCACACGGUUUCCAGGAGCAUUGAUGAGAAGCACAAGCGGUUCAAUGUAUUCAAAGAGAAUGUCAAGCAUGUCCACAACACUAACAAAGGAGAUAAGCCUUACAAGCUGAAGCUGAACAAGUUUGCUGACAUGACCAACCAUGAGUUCAGGAGCGUUUACGCCGGUUCAAAGGUUAAGCAUCAUAGGAUGCUCCAGGGGGAGCAGCGCGGUGAUGGGGGCUUUAGGUAUGAAAAUGUUGACAGUGUCCCACCCUCUGUUGAUUGGAGAAAGAAAGGUGCCGUCACUCCUGUUAAGGAUCAAGGCCAGUGUGGUAAGGAAAAUUUCCUUCUUUUUUCUAGUUUGUUUCUUUUUGUUUGCCUAUAGCAGCACAGAACUGGAAAUGUAUGAAACUAGGGUGGCCAUUAACCGAAGUUCCUUUCGAUGAUAUUUUGCAGGUAGUUGCUGGGCAUUUUCAACAGUUGUAGCUGUUGAGGGCAUUAAUCAAAUUAAGACCAAUAAGCUGGUUUCAUUGUCUGAGCAAGAGUUGGUUGACUGUGACACUGAACAAAAUCAAGGAUGCAAUGGAGGGCUAAUGGAAUUGGCAUUUGAGUUCAUCAAACGAAAAGGUGGCCUAACAACAGAGACUAAUUACCCUUACCGAGCAGAAGAUUCAACAUGUAAUGUUGCAAAGGUACACGUUUUGUGCACUUACUUUUCAGGGAUCGAUAUAUCUUUGUCCAUUUUGGAUGCUCCUUCACCAUAUACCCAACAUGCUUUUGCAGGAAAAUGCUCCAGUAGUGUCAAUUGAUGGUCAUGAGAGUGUGCCUGCAAAUAACGAGGAUGCAUUGCUCAAAGCAGCUGCAAACCAACCUAUUUCUGUUGCCAUAGAUGCGGGAGGUUCUGAUUUUCAAUUCUACUCUGAGGUAAACUUUCUAACUUGUAUUCACUUUUGCUAAGCUAGUGAAACAGAAGGAAAAAGAAAAAUCAGAUGGUUCAUACCGCCAUAUCUAAAUCUGCUCGACGAUGAUUUGCAGGGGGUAUUUACUGGACAAUGUGGCACAGAGCUUGAUCAUGGAGUUGCAGUUGUUGGCUAUGGAGCAACACUAGAUGGAACCAAGUAUUGGAUAGUGAAGAACUCCUGGGGCCCUGAGUGGGGAGAGAAGGGUUACAUAAGGAUGGAGCGUGGCGUCUCUGCGAAAGAGGGGCUCUGUGGAAUAGCAGUGGAGGCUUCAUAUCCCGUCAAGAACUCUUCCACCAACCCUAAAGGAUCACUUACCUCCUAUCUUAAGGAUGAACUCUAAACAACAUCCUCCAUUGACUCUAAGCUUUGCUGAUGUUGCUUCGGUUAUAAAUAAAAAUUGUUGCAUGACACAUGGCCUCAUGGCCAAAUAAUGUUUCUCAUAGAUUUGAAUUAUUCAUAUAUCAUCUAAGAUCUGUAUUUGGUCUGCUAAGCUGAAAUAACAUUGUCGAAUUAAUUUCCCCAACUCUAUGCCUAUUCCUACCAAGCAUAACAGAAGUAUCAUCAAAGCAAGAAAGAAAAGAAGGUUCAAAAUCAGAGUAUAUUUUCAAUAUAUAAAAGCAUGAUGCUCGAUUAUCAUAAACAAUACGAGUACACCAAAACAAAUUAUAAUGUUUUGGACCCCCAACUGAUGCGGCAACGUUUCAUUUGUACAUAUCCGGUCUCACUAUGAAACCUCAUUUAUUUACGACAAGUACGGCAUUCACGCAUCAUAUGUUUUAAGUUUGAAUCCUAUGGCAUCAUGCAUGCAUAAACUUGUCAACCAUAGCACCUAAUAGGAUCCGUGCAACCCUUUUCAGCAGAUUGUUUGUUGCCUUGACCUCCUCCCUUUUCCAGAUAUUGCUGAUGAUACUCCUCUGCCCUGUAAAACCUCUUUGCUGGCAGAAUCUCAGUCACCACCUUCUUAUCCUUCAACUCCACUUGCUUUGCCUCCUUUGAUUUCUGGGCCAGACGAGCCUGGUUUUCAUUGUAGUAAUAUAUUCCAGAUCGAUAUUGUGUACCAACAUCACCACCCUGAUACAUAAACACAUAAAUUUAUUAUUUAAUCAAUCAGAAAAUCAUCUAAUUUCAAGGUAAUAUUCUCUUUCAUUGGUUAUCAAUUUGAACCAUACACUCAUACAUUACAGUCUAUAUCAUGUUUAUCGAGAAGCAAAUAUGGUAACCGAUAAUUUAGCACAUUUAGGACAAAAUAAUGAUCACUCAUGUAUUUAGUUUUGUAAUUUUCCUUCUUCAGUUCUUUUAAACUAAAAUUUAACGCCUUCAGAAAUAAAAACAUUCAUACAUUCAAACAAACAAAAAUCUAUUGAGAAAAUCAAUUAACAAAGUACAAAAUUCCCAAAUUACAUAACCAAAAAAAAAAAACUACAGGGCAUGAGUUGUACAAAAUAUAUUGAAACAAUCUUGAUUGAUAUUCUUUCCACAUGUCACUGUCCCAUCAUAUAACUUUUUGGUGCCAGAAAUACAGAAUUAGCUGAAAUUCAGCAAUUACUGAGACAGCCUGACAAACCCAAAAAUAAAAAAGAAAAGAAAUUUGUAGAAUCAAUUUUAUUUGACAGUACAUCAAAAUUCAAAAGAAAACGCUCAGCACAAAAUUAAGUCCAAAAGUGAAUCAAAAAAGGCUGGACUGGGCUGGGCUGGGUUACAAAAUCAACAGUCCAGAAAACCAAACAAGAUUACCUGGCGAUUGAGCGUCGUUGGAUCAUGACGAGCCCAAAAGACAGAGAGCAGAUCAGUGUAAGGGCAGACUUCCGGGUCAAACUGGACCCGAACCACCUCCGCGUGGUUGGUGGUUCCGGAGCAAACCAAUUUGUAAUUCGGAUCCUCCACGUGGCCCUGGGAGUAGCCGACUUCGGUCUUGACCACCCCGACCACUCGCUGGAACCUCAGCUCCGCUCCCCAGAAGCACCCGGAUCCGAAUUGAGCGAACUCGUGACCCGGAUUGUCCGGAGCAUCGAGGUCCGGUAACAGAGCAGGGUUGGCGGGUCCCGUCUUUUCUGAAGUAGCGGCCAUUGUUGGUUCCUGACUGAGUUUUGCGAAAUAUGAUUGAUGCAGAGCAAUGCGAAUUAGUCUUCAACGUUGAAUCUGGCCGCCAAUCCUCGUCACGUACAUUCCCAGCGAUCCCGAACGACAUGUCGUUGAACUUGCACCACCACACUUCGUAUUACUUCACGUGCUUAUUGAAUAUAAAUCCAUAAAUGUACAAUUAAUCUAACGUGUGGUGGACGUGCCGGAGUGGUUAUCGGGCAUGACUAGAAAUCAUGUGGGCUUUGCCCGCGCAGGUUCGAAUCCUGCCGUCCACGUUUUUGCAGUCCGAAAUUAAAUCCUUUUUUCUUUUUCCUAGUUGAGAGUUGAGACCACAACACAUGCCCAAUUACUUUCUAUGAAUAAAUGAGAUUGGGCUUUGGCAAAGGAAAAAAAAAUAAAAAAAUUGGGCUGAAUUUUUGGCUGGGCUCGGGUGAAUAACAUGUCUAGAUUUUUGUUGUGUGUGUGUUUUUUUAAUAAAUAAGAUCGAUAUUCUAAAAUUAUUUUAAUGUACGAGAAGGAGGGGGUUCGGACUAGGACGCAAUCGGGCUUAUACAAAUGUGAUGAAUGAGACGUUGACCAAAACAAAGGGUUUAGAUGAAUGAGAUUUGACAAGGCAAUAUGCUGAUAUGAUGUUGUAGGCUUUGUAUCAUGGUCCGGUUAGUCAUGAUGAUGUUUUGCAGAUCCCUCUCUCAUGGCAUCUUUGAACACAAAAGUCGUGAGAUGAGAGGGCUUUUGAGAAUGGUGUUUGCAAAUGGAAGUAUACAACAUCAAGUACUCCAACCAGAAGGGGGCCAUGAGAAGAUUCCAAGCAUGCUUUUGUUUUGUUGCAUAAGUGCUUAGCUCAGCUUUUUUUUUCCACUAUGUUUUGUUUGCCCUUUCUUCUAGCAUCCUCCCUCCCCUACCAUGAUUUCCCAAUUGACCCAGAUGGUAAUUAGAAAGUGGUGCACAAAACAUUAAUGUCAGACAAGGCAAUAGGAAGGAACAUAAUAUCAUUAUGUGUUUGGUAAUAAGAGUAAUGUUAUGGAACUCAUCAAGCGGUUGAUCUUAUUUCUAUUCGAGAUGUGGUACACGAGGCGGAGUAUAAACGUAAUCAUCCUAGUAUUUUCAUGAUAAUCAUGAAGUCAGUAAGUGAGGGCUGCUGAUGGUGUCUGGACUAAAAAAAAUCUUUAAAAAGGCAGCACCAACAAUGAGACCAAAGAAAGAUCGAAUCUAUAAUUACAUCUUUAAUCUUUUCAGUCUGUUUAGCAUUAGAGUCCUAGUUUGCAUUUUGCAGUGAAGAAAGGGACCAAAACGUUGUCGGCUUGCACUAACUUCCACCAAUUGUGCCCUUGUAUUGACCUCUCACAGCUACCAAAUUGACCAAUCAACAUUACUUGGGAAUGAUUCUUCCCCUACUGAGCUACCAAGACUAAAAAUUCCACAAGAUAGUAGCGUAUAGUCAAAUGGAAAACAAGAGAGGCAUAUGUAAGAUCUUUGUAAGCACACAAAUAGUAUUACUAUUACUAAGGUUAGUUUUGGUUAUGCCAUGACUUUUAUUACUUUACCGAUAAGAUUUUAUGAGACGUCAUAACAUCUUAUGGUUGACAGAAACUUACAUGUAACGAGGUGUAUAUGUUUGAAUAUGAUACGUUAUGUGACAAAUUAUUAUAUUUGUACAAGGAUUUCAUCAGGCUUGUACGGUGUUAUACGUGAAAACAACCGUUAGCAUUUAAAUGAUUAAAAAAGUUAAUGAGGAUUUAUUAGGAUUUCGGAUAUAUAUCAUGUUGACAGAGAAAUCCAACUUUGGCCAUUAAACAAUGUCCUUUUAACCACUUCGUUUAGGACGUUUUGUAUAAUUAAUUAUUCUGAUAAUGAAUAGAACCUUGAACUAAUCUAGAAGUACAUGUGCAUUAAAAGGAUCAAAAUAUUAAUAUUUUCUUGUUGAGUAUCAGUUUUUAUAAUAUUUUCUAAUUUCCAUGAUGUGUAUUCGAAGGAGGCUCAAGUUUGAAGAGGGAGAGGCUCUUCAACAUGCUCCGGCCGGCUUAGCAGUGGUUGAGGCUUCAACAUCAGUAUUGUUAAUGUUAUGUACGUUUUUAAGGACGGGCAAAGAAAACAUUUGCAAGUUACAUAUUUUUUAAACAAUAAAGUGUGGAAAAUGUUUGAUGUACACUAUAAGUCUUCUUAUUUUUUAAGCAACACACUAAUGUAACAAUUUAAGUAUUCACAUAACGCAGAACACGCUAUCAAUUUUCUUUUCACAAAUCGGUUUACGGAUAACGUUUUUAAUCAUUUGAAUUAUAAGUUUUUAAAUACGAGAUUAAACAAAAUCAAACGGAAAUGUAUAGAUAUUCUAAAUUAUACCAAAUCACAUGAGAAAUCAUAUGUUUAAAUAUAAAUAUGAAACCAAACAGGACAUGAUAAUACCCCCCCGAUUUGGUAACAAGGCAAACUAUGUUAACCCAAAUUUCUACUAGGGUUAACCUUCUAUCCUCCCUCAAGGAAGAAGCACAACUCCCACUUCAAUAUACAAUACACAAAUUUUGGACAUCUGGGGGAAAAUUGACAUUGUGGUAACAAAAAAAAAAUUCAUACCACUAAUUUGCCGCAGACCUAAUUAACGACGACUAAUUAAUCACAAUCUGAAGGUUCGAAUCCCAUGGCUGCAUCUGGUUUCUCCUAAUUCCUCCUCUCUCUUCCUCUUGGGCAGGGACAAGGAAGAUAUUGUUCUGGCUGACACCACCUUCCUCACAAGCAGUUUCCACCUUGCAUCAUCUUUCUUUUUCUCUUGCUGCAUUUUCAACUUGAAUUGCCUGUCGCAUUCCCAAAACGACGCCAUAUUAAUAAAUAUCAAUGCUAGCUGCUAAAUAAAUUGGAUACUCAUAAUUGACUAAUGGACUAGUUGCACAAGGAAAAGCACAAUUAGCUGAGCUUAAUGCCCCACCCAUCCAUGAUAUUUUAUUUGCCACUUGUUAUUUUAUGAACCAAAAUAAGCCAAGGGAUUGAGGGAACCUCAUUUGUUUGGCUUUAUUAGCCAACUUAUGUCUCCUUCCUCCCUAUUAAAUCAUGAUAAGCACAAGCUGUCACACUGGUACCUUCUAUCAGAAUUAAGGGAACAGCAUCUAAUUAAAAUAUCUAGUAGUACGCAUUGUAUGGUCGAAAUUUACAGUUUGACAAAAGAACAUUAACCGCGAUAUAACUUUGGGUUGUCAUGAGUUAGGUUCCACCCCCAUGCCAAAGAUGCCUCUAUCGUUGAAGUAGGUUUCAUUCAUAUAGAGUAUAGACUAGUCAAUUCCAUCUUAGUCCUAUUAUGAGAUUCCAAACCAGAAAAGGCCAACCCCUCUAAAAAGUGAGUUUUUUUAUUUAUUUAUUAUAAAAUUGGUUUAAUUUCAGGUGGCAUACCAAAACAUAUAUACAAAUAAAACAUGCAAAGAAAACCCAUUACUUAUUUUAGCUGAUAGAAUCUUUUGGCAUCCUACCAACAACUCCUCCUUUUUUCUUGGUUAUUCAUUAAACCAUAAUUAGCAUUAAUUUGAUCAUCGUUAAUUAUAUGUUUACCUGCAAAGAGGAACUCUGCAAGAGUCGGGUUGGUCACACAUUGACGAGUGAAGCCUAAGAAGCUGCCACAUGCGCUUGCAACGCAAGCACCCUCCAUUCACCCUCCUUUUACAGGUGGCGAAGUGCUGGAUCAACAGCUGCAGCCCUUGACACGUAGAGAACUUGCUGCAUGGGCCCCUAUUGUGACCUGGCUCCAUAUCGUAGGGCCCAACACUCGUGCACCCUUCCUUGCAUAUGUGCUCCAAGCACUCCAUGGCCUCACUUAGCUGCAGAUACAACCUUUGCUCCUCCCUCAGCUUCCUUGUCUUCUUCUUCCUCUGCUCACAAAAAGGGAAAAUUAACUUUCGGUCCUUACAAUUACAAUAUCAAAUUGGGGUCAAAAUAUAAAUAAAAAUUCCAAGUACGAUGUACAUCAACAGUUCACAAUCAUGCGUGAAAUUCUAAAAAUUUGUCUUACGAAAUGAAAUAAAUAAACAUCGUAUUAACUUACCGACGCGGUUUCGUCGAUGAAUUGUAAGAUGUCGAGUUCGAGCCAAGGGUCAUGAUCUUGGAGGAAUUUCCAGCCUUCAGUAUUCUCGACAGCCUUGAAGUGAUUAGCGACCAACUUCAAGCACUUGAGGUAGAGAUCCGCUGCGUCGCACAUCUUGGCCAGUUGGAGCACAUCCACAACGUUUUCGAUGGUCAAACGUUGACCCAGCUCCUUGAUGCAUCUGUGCUUCAGCUGUGGGACCAGGUACACGUGGGACAGCGCGAGUAGAUGGAUCCCGUACUUCUCCAUAUGCUCUUCCGUGCACCUGCAUCAGGGGGCAUUUUCGUCAAUUCACUAAUAAUCAUAUUUUAAAUGUUCCUCCAAUUUUGGAAAUUAAUAAUUAAAUUAAAAUAUGUCCGAAACGGACGGUCGCGAUGAAAUGGUCGGUGCAGAUAAUUGAUACGAGUAAAAACGUGCUAAUUAGGAAAAGCGGGCAACGGCAACGAACCUAGAGGAGUAGAGGAAGCGAAGGAAGGCCAAUACGGCGUCGUUUGGGACGCCGGUGAUCGGAAUGACUCGCUCGGAGCUCCGGUGCUUACGUGGCCGAUCAAUAAUGUUUUCCAGCACCGGCGACACUGAGGCCUUCAAAAUGCAAAAAUGAAGAAAGGAAAAUUCAGAUCUCUUUUCAAAAAUAAAAGAAAGUUAAGUAAUGUUUUUGCGUUACGAAAAACAAAAAAGGGAAAUGAAAUGAGGAGAGGUGUUUGGUAGGUGGAAUAGAAUGUACCAGAAUGCUAGAGUGCGCCGGGAUCCGCAGAGCGUCGCAGGUGACGAUGUGGACAUCGGGUUCGGGUAGGUCUCGUGGGUCGGAUUUGGUGCCGGAUAGUCCGUACAGGUCAUCGGAGAUGUUGAUGGCUACGGUGGGAUUAGUUUCCAUUUCUAGAGAGAGCGAGAGAGAGAGAGAGAGAGAGUCAGAGAAGAAAGACAGAGAUAUUAUGAGUAGAAAGAAAGGAGUCUUUUUGUGAGUGUGUUUGUGAGACGAUGAAAAUGUUUGAUGGUCUCCCCUGACUUUAUAGAGAAUUUGAGAUUUUUUCAUUUUUUAUUUUUUAUUUUUUAUUUUUUUUGUUGUUAAGUCAGGUUCCGAGAAUGAAACGCAAAAGAACAAAUAUAAAACAACCCAGUGCGACUGCUGUUUGUGCGCCUCAGUCUCACGCGCCAUUUAAGAGCCACAUAAACAUUAUGUAGGCUCUUAUUGUGUGAUUAUAAAUUGAUCAAAGAAAAUAUAUGUUACCAAAAGAGUAGACAUGGUAUAGAUUUUGAUAAUAUUUUCUUUUGGCAAUUUGAGGGCUAGAAUGGGCCGAACAAGGCUGUACCCAACCCUAAUUGCUUAUCUUAAAAAUGAAUAUAGAAAAAAAUAUUGUUUUCUUAUACACUUUGAUCUCGUUUGGUUCACUGAACAGAUUUAAGGGGAAAUUACUUCCCAUGUCAUUUCCUGAGGGAUGGGAAAUGGAAGAUUCAUUUUCCACGUUUGAUAAUGUCGGGAAAGAUGUGCAUUGAAUGUUGGCUCAUUUUCUCAAACUUUCCUAUAAUAAGGGAAAACAAAACCUAAAUUGAGAGGAGGGCUUCACUUUCCUCAUACUUUCCCAUGUACUAGGCAACUAUUUCCCAUGCAUGGACUUACCAAAUAUGAAAAAGUAAUUAAUUUCCUAUCUCAAAACCCCCUUUUUCAUGAACCAAACGGGGCCUCUAUGCUUAUAUAUUUCUUUACAUUUUUACCUUGACUUUUACCUUAAUUUGUAUUAUUACUUGGUUGACGGAAAUGUCCAAAGUAAAUUGUGCGUGUGGGAAGCAUCCAUCAUUUGCUAGCUAAUAACAAUAUUUCCAUCUCUACCCCUGCCAACUUGGGAACUUGCUUUUUUUAUUUUAGUGAUUAUCCAAGAUUAUAUAGAUAAUAUUUUCGAUCUGACGUGUAAGGUUUAGCCCACAAUACCCACUUGGCACUCUACGAACAAACCCAAUAAGGCCGGACUUAAAAAACCAGAAGGCCAAAUUAUAAUAAGCGGCCUUUCGCCGUAGGGAGAGGAUGACUCAAUCCGACGUGCCCGUCCUCAUCCUUUCCAUCUCACCUGCUCCGAUCACAAACUAAUAUCCACGUAUACUUACACGUGUCAACAGCCCAUCUUCACUGCAAAAAUAAAUAAAUAAAUACAUCAAGAUAUUAGUUUAAUUAAGUCGGGUGCAAAAUUAGCCAUCAAUUAGCGCCGUAUUUGGGCCCACUGAAACGACAGGUCUUAUUUCCUCACACGUGUCCAGGAAGUCGGCGAUCACCGCUUGCGUUUAGAGCAGACGACACGUUUUCGAGUGCCAGUGAGGUCGGUACUGGCGUGCUAACUGUCGUUUUUCAGGCAAACGAAACUAUUUUUAUUUUAUACUUCUCAAAUACCUGAGCUGACCUAAUGGGAUACGAAACUUUGCUAUGUGGUGUCUUUCUCAGAAGUUAGAAGAGAAUAAUGCAAACCUUUGCAUAGCUAAGCAUGUUAUUAACAAGCAUUUAUGGCAUGCACCUGAAGAAAAAUUAAAAAUGAUAAUGAUUUCUUAUGAAUCCAAGGGCAGGGGUUCCACCGUAGCUAGUAGCCACGUACUGUUUGAUGCAAGAUCCAAGGGGCUAUCUUCCGAGAAUAAGAAUCUACCAUGCGGGGCAUUCUGGUUAGAUGAGGAUCAAUUCAGCUCGUCAGGACUCUUUCAAUUGGAGUUCUUAUUGAAAGCAGUGUGGCUCAUGACUGUUGAUCAACUCCUUGCAGGUUCUGGAACUUUUAUGCAGUUUGAACGCAACCAUUGUUGGCUUGGCAGUUAGCUCUGAAGCAUCCAUAGAUUUACCUUGGUGUGUUGGUCUUGGUAGGCUACUCUGUUUUGCCACAAUAUUUUUGGUUAUAUUUCAUCUUCUCUGUAUAGCUCUGCUCAUAAUUUUAUAUUUUCUGACUCCAAUAUGUAGGGAACUGGGGUUUUAAUUAUGAUAUAAUAUUUCAAUAAACAGAAUAUUUUAAAAGUAUAGCCGGGCGGCUAUACCCUCAAAUAGUUGAAGCGUAUAGCCUACACGAAUCUUUAAAGAGUAUAGCCGUUCGGCUAGACCCUGCCUGAAGUCGUUGAGGAUAUUGAGGUUCAGAAGCCUAUCCAUAACUACUGUGAAGGACAAUAGUAAAAUUCGAAUUGAUGUAGAAAAGAAAUUUGGACAACAUCAUACCUUGGGCAUUACUUCAACUGCGACUGCUGAAACAUAACUUGAUAUAGCCCGGAUGCCGCGCGGCUAAAUAGAAUAUUUUAAAAGUGUAGCGGUGCGGUUAGACUCUAUAAAAUUGGGAUAUACAAAAUUAUGAUCUCACUGCUGUAUUAGCUAUAAUAAAUAAUGGAAACAAGUUGUUCCCAAUAAUCAAUGAGUGUGAGACAACCACGAGAAUAGGUAGAUAAACUUUCCUACCAAAGUAGUUAACACAUCCACCCAAGUGCAGAAUACAGAAUGAGUCAAAGGGAGAAACUGACAGUAACUUGUACUAAAAAGAUUUGUUAAUUUAAGUUUCAGCUUCUGUUUUCAACUAAAAUUGAUUUUUACAUCAACUCAACUAUCUGCAUCAAAUUUGAUUUUAUCCCCCAACAGUAGAAUUACUCGAGUCAGGUAGAAACAUGAAGCUCUCACAACCAUAAAAUGAAUAGGAAAGAAAUUAAAUAAGGGAGCUAUGGGUAUUGCCAAACUCACAUUGAUCUUCUGUAUAUAUUCAUCACAGUACCGAAGCUUAUAACCAUGAUACCUAUCCACGAACAAGAACCUCCGUAUGCCAUACUUUCUGAGGUUGUAAGAAAUACAUAGCCGCGCAGCUAUACCCUUUAAGUAGAUAUUUUAAAGCUAUACUCUUUGAAUAGAAUAUUUUAACAGUAUAGCCGGGCGGCUAUACUCUUUACAUAAAAAGCAGGCAUGCCUCACACAUCUUUCUUAUAUCAGACAGCUUCUUGUGGUUGUGGCAAUAAGCCUAGUGACAGAUUCUUUUAACUUCGUCAUUUCCAGAAGGACAAUGAUAAGAUGAGAAAGUUUUGAAUAAAACAGCAUUGCCAGAGCAAAACAUUCAUAUGGCUCACACCGAACCACCAACGACAAGGAAACAGAACACUAUUGAUACAAAUUCUUCCUCUUAUCAAAUAAGGAAAAAGGAAAAGUUUUGAAGACCAAACAAGAUGCUGCGGGCAAAAAGACAGGUAUCACAGUUGAAUCACAUAUCUGGAAUUGAUAUUUACUAGCAUGUUUAGCACAUCUGAACAAAAUAAAAAGAAAUAAGAGGCAUAACAACAAGAUAUUGAUCAUACGUACGCACCUAAAGAUAUACCUAAAUCGAUCAAUGUGAACUGUUAAAACACGAGCAGGCUUGCUAUUUAAUGUGUCUGGGCCUUGGCUGACAACUUCCUGGUUGUUGACAGCAUUAAUUCAGUAUCAUCACCCACAGAAGAACUUAUAUGUACACUUUCUUCUGGAAAUGAAUUACACACCUGUAAAGGAGUAACGACGGCCAAGCACAAGGCCUCCAAAGCUCUCUUAGCAUGGUCAGGUGGAAGUUCAGUAAUGACCUUACUGCAGAAGAGAGUUCAGUAGAUGUUCAGAUAAUCAACAGAAUGAGGUACUAGAUUGAUCACGCAACGUCAGAAGAUGCAGAAGAUAUAGUUUACCUUAAGGCUCAACUAGAUGCAACGAACGCUCAGCUGAACCAUCCAUGACAGAUGAACUAUAAGUAUUAAAAAUACAUUACCUGUCUGAAGUACUUGAGGAUGUUGAGGUAGUUUUAGAAGCCUAUCCAUAACCUGUUCACAUAAAAAAACAUAUAUAUAAAAAUAAACCCUUAAAAAAGUGAGUAUUAUUAGAUCAUACCUUGGGAAUUACUUCAUUCUCAACUACUAUAUAUCUUCUUUGAAAAGGAUCACUCCUUCAAAGAAGAUAUAUUAAUCCUUGAAUAUUUCAGACAGUGCUUUUCAAGCCUGAACAUUACUAGUAUUAAAGAACUGGCUCAAGCUUUGGCCUCUCAUUCUCCUUAUGAAGUUCCAAUAUCUACCAUUAAGAUUAGACAUCUGCAUUGCCAGAAUGCCAGGUCAGUUCUAAGUUCUGACUAUUGAUCAACUCCUUGCAGGUAUGCCCCUUUAAAUAGAAUAUUUAAAAUGUCUAGCCGGGCGGCUGUACCCUUAAAAUAGAAUAUUUAAACAGUAUAGCCGAACGGCAAUACCCUAUGAGUAGAAUAUUUUAAACGUUGGCCGCACGGCUAUACUCUAUAAAUUGAAUAUUUUAAGGUAUCGCUGCUCGGCUAUACUCAUUGAAUAGAAAGUUUUUAAAGUAUAGCCGACCGGCUAUCCUCUACAAAUAGAACAUUUUAAAAUUAUAGCUGGGCAAUUAUACUUUGUAAAGUUUUUACAGUUUAGCCGGCCGGCUAUACGCUUGAAAUAUAACAUUUCAACGAUAGAGCCGCCCGGCUAUACGCUUAAAUUAGAAAGCAGGCAUGCCUCACAGAUUAGUGCAAUCGAAGAAUGUCCAAAUGGAAUGUAAUGUGGUAUUUCAUUGCUUCUUGUUCUUCCAUUAAGUUGAAGUUCAGUUGUAGGAAAAUUAUUAACCAUUUUCCCAUAAACAAAUCUAUAUUCUAUAAAUAGAAUAUUUAAAAGCAUAGCUGCGGGUCGAUACCUUAUUAUGAUAAAUGAGGAAAUUAGUUCUCAAAUCUUUUGAUAGCCAUUUAAUUUAUGUGACAAAAGGUAUCAUGGUAGAUCCAUGUAUGAAAGAAUCAUUUCUUGGGAAAACCAGUAAAUAGAAGAUUGAUACAAACAGCAACAAAAAGGAAAAUAUAUAUACAUGCUAAAGAACAUGAACAAGUUCGAUUGCAUUAUGUAACUGUGACUUCCAGGAUCGAUUGCAUUUGUAUACAUGCUAAAGAACAUGAACAAGUUGAUAUGUUGAAUUGGAAUGCAAUGCUCAGCAAGCUUUCCUUUGUUUGAAGAAGUAAAUCAUAAUUUAGAUGAACGGCUAGAUAGAGCAUGGCUAACGAGCUCCCUCCUCAAGAUCUUUCCUGCCGGAGAUUUCAGAAUCGAGUUGAUAAACGAUACAUGUCGAAUCUUCUUGUAGGGUGCAACCUACAAUAAGAAACCAACUUCAAUGUGAGAACAGGAACUUUGGAAGUAUGGAUGUUAAUUAUGAAAAGAAUCAAUUGGAUUUUUUUACAAGUAUUCAGGAGCAUACUUGUUUUGCAACAAAAUCCAUAACUGCAGCCUCAUUGAUAUUGCUUCUAGGCUUUCUAACUACAUAGACCAUGGGAGUCUGCCCUGCUUUUUCAUCAGGAUACCUGCUUCAGAAACAGCAACGGGCAGAAAUCAGAACUAGUAUACCUUGAGGAGGUAAACAGAUACAUGAAAUAUACUGCAAAUUCUUUCAGAAACUAUGAUCUUCUACCAUGUAACCAUGCCACUAACUAUGCAAGAAAGUGGAGGCAAAAGACCAGAUUUCUCAUAAAGGCAAACUUAUCGGCAAAAUAUCCGUCAAAAUUUUCUUCAAUGAUCUCAUAAGUUCUUGAAUUUCUUUUGUUUUUUGUUUUUCUAUGGACCAGUUUCUUUUCCUAGCUAAAUACUUCUAAAACAAAAGUGACAAAUAAGAGAUUAAAGUCUUCAAUUGAUAGAUUGAUGCCAUAGAGCAUGGAAAGAAACUAGCUUUUCACAAGCAAAGAAUGUCAUAGUACUAGAUACAUACGGAAUCACAGCGGCAUCGGCAAUGUCGGGAUGGGAUUGAAGUAUAUGUUCCAACUCAGCUGGUGUACCUGCAAUUUGUUCCAGACAUAGGGAGACCAAACCACACAUUACUCAAAUGGACUGAUCAAAUACUUAUACAACCGUCUUCGUUAUGACUUUAACUCUCGAAGGAUCUCUCUAGCAAUCACCUGAUAGGCCUUGUUGUACUUGAUCAAUUCCUUUAACCUGUCAACUAUGUAGAGGAACUCCUCAUCAUCAAAGAAACAAAGAUCACCCAUCUUCAACCACCCGUCUGAGUGAUCACCUGUCUUCAACCACCCGUCUGAGUCCAAGGUCUCAGCAGUUGCCUUGUCAUAUCCUACAUAACCUGUAAGUCAAAUGGUUUUACAAAGAUCAGUUAGAUUAGGUAAUGGUGUCCUGACUCAUGGCUAGAACUUGCUCCUAUAUUAACCGACUUGUAAGAAAAGGCACCGAAAACUUAUAAAUUAUCUUAAGAUAAACUAUUUCUGCAAUGUAGGACACUUGUGACAUGACAAAGUCUCAUUAUCUUAAGAUGUUGUUAAAAUAAACACAUCUGCCGAGAGUGAGAAUCUACCCUACCAUGCGGGGCAUUCUGGUUAGAUGAGGAUCAUGAUAUAUGGGGUGCUAAAUCUAAUAGAGAUCAAUUUUAGCUCAGCUCGUCAGGACUCUUUCAAUUGGAGUGCUUACUGAAAGAACUGGCUCAUGUUUUGGCCUCUCAUCCUCCUUAUGAAGUUCCCAUAUCUACCAUUAAGGUUGGACAUCUGCAUUGCCAGAAUGCCAGGUCAGUUGUAAGUUCUGACUGUUGAUCAACUCCUUGCUGGUUCUGGAAAUUUUAAAAUCUUGGUGUCUUUUACACGUAUGAUUGAAUUUUAAAUUAUGGUUCUGUUUUCUGUAAGGUUCUUUAGAACAUUUUAAGGGAGUGCUUAGUGGUGAUUACUUUUGUUCCUCAUAGCUUUUGAUUUCUUGAUAAUUAAGGGUUGUAAUAGUUUAUUUCUUUUAUGUUAGGCCCAGGGUUCUGAGAUCUUCUACAGUUUGAACGCAACCAGUGUUGGCUUGGCAGUUAGCUCUGAAGGAUCGAUAGAUUUUACCUUGGUGUGUUGGUCUUGGUAGGUUACUCUGUUUUGCCACAAUAUUUUUGGUUAUAUUUCAUCUUCUCUGUAUGGCUCUGCUCAUAUUUUAUAUUUUCUGACUCCAAUAUGUAGGGGAACGGGGGUUAAUAUUACAAACGUAGAGCCGCGCGGCUACACCCUUUAAAUAUAAUAUUUUAACGGUAUAGCCGUUCGGCUAUACUCUGUAAACAGAAUAUUUUGAACCGUAUCGCCGAACGGCUAUACUCUAUAAAUAGAAUAUUUUAACGCUAUAAAUGGAAUAUUUUUAAAAGUAUAGCCGCGCGGCUGUACUCUAUGAAUAGAAUAUUUUAAACGUAUAGCCGCCCGGCUGUACGCUAUAAAUAUAUACGAAUUGUUUGAGAAAUAUUACCAUUCCAGACUCGUUUUCUUCCGUUCUGUUUUUUCCUUCUUUUGUUUGCAAAACGUUUGCUGGCACUUGUUAAUCUACACAUUCCAGACUAGUUGUCUUAAUUAUCAAUGACAAUUUCAGCUUUCUCUCUCUCUCUCUCUAGAUGUAAUUUUACAACAAAAAUUUUGGGAAAGAAAGAUUAUAUUUAGAAUGACAAUAUAAGUACAGAAAAAUCAUAUGCUUUUGGUUUUGGAUCCAUACAUGAAGCAACAACUCUAGUGAAAAGAGAACAAUUUUGGGAAAGGAGAUUAAGAUAUAUGAGUAUGGAAAUCUGUUACACCACAAGUAAUAUUCAGCAAGUAAUGUAUUAUGUAGGAACCCACCCUUACAGAUGAAAAAUUUGCUAAAUGCAGAAUCUUGAACAAGGUUUGAUAAUUGAUAGCUAAAACUUCACCCAAGUACAAGAUACAGAAUGAGUCAAAGGGAGAAACUGACAGUAAAUUGUAGUAAAAGUUUUUGUUAAUUUAAGUUUCAGGUUCUGUUUUCAACUAAAAUUGAUUUUUACAUAAACUCAACUAUCUGCAUCAAAUUUUUAUCCCCCAACAGUAGAAUUACUCAGGUAGAAACAUAGAGCUCACAAGCAUAAAAUGAUAAGGAAAGAAAUUAAAUAAGGGAGCUAUCCACCAACAAGAACCUUCGAAUGCCGUACUUUCAGGUUGUAAGAAAUACAAACAAGACAAAUGGCAGUCACAAGAGAAUAUUUAAAGGUAGUAUAAAUAGAAUAUUUUAAAAGUAUGGCCGCGCGGCUAUACUCUAUAAAUGGAAUAUUUUAACAGUAUAGCCGCGCGGCUAUACUCUAUAAAUAGGAGAUUUUGAAACUUGUAGGCUUCUAUUUCUCUCAGCUUCAAUGGAAGAUUCAUUGACAAACGAAAUAUACGAAUUCCUGGAAGAGUAGAGUUACUAUAGUCAAUACUCGUUUACGCAAAAUCAAGUAGGCUGUAGUUCUAGAAUGACUGACCUUUUGGUGAAGUUCACCUGAAGACUUUGCCGAAAAUUGCAUGUCGGAGGCGAUAUUGUACUAGUGAGUGGGUGUCAAGCAACUUCCAAUAAUGCAUGCACAAUCAACAUUGAUUCAUCUGAACCUGAAUACCAACUAAAAACAAAUAGAUCAGAAACAGUUCAAGCGAUUAAGUUCAAAAUAUUGUAGAAGUUUCUCGAACUGUAUAAGCAUUCAACAGCAAUGUUGAACUUAAUCUCUUGAACUGUUUCUAAUUUAUAUAUACGAAUAUUUAAAUAGUAUACCCAAGUGACUAUACUUUUUAAAUGCAUACAAAUUAUUUAAGAAUUAUUUUCAUCUUCCAAUUACGUGUUUCUUCCGUUUUUGUUUUUUUCAUUUCUCUUGUGUGCUAAACAUGAGGUGAAAAUUUAAAAAUUCAAAGGUGUUAUGUUUUGAAUCUGUUUCUAAUUGAGUUUUUCCUUUUCUUUUUUUGUCAAAAAUAGAUUUGACAAUCCCACAUCUAAAGACACCGGAGAAGUAUGAAUUAUAUAUGAUUUUAUGGACAAAAGAUUUUCUCAGCCUAAUAAGGUAUUGAGUUGUGAAUUUGCUGAAGCUUCAUGGCCCAGCUUGAUCGCUUGAUCCUCAUAUCAAUGGGCUUUACCUUCCUUUUGUGCAUUGGGCUACGAUAUAACUUGCAGGUGGCUCUAUCCAUAUCACACCGAGUAGAAUUAUAUAGACGCUCACUGUAGAAUGACUCAUCAAAUUGAAUAUAAGCGAUAAUAUGAUAAGGGGUUCUGAAAACUAGUUGUCAAAUCACCUUUAUUUUUCAAAACAACUUGAAAGUGUUUUUAAUUUUUAGUUUUUUAGUUUUUUAGUUUUUUUUUUUUGCGUUCUUUUUUAUUCACUAAUUUUACAUCACCACAUAUGAAAUGCACUCCAAUUACCAAAACUUGAUAUUUGGGACCUCCCGACUUGGAUAUGGCCGCUUGAUUCUUGCGUUCAGCCAUGGGACCUCCAAAUCCAAAAUUCACCCAAUCUAAUUCUAAAAAAUUCAUUGAAAAAUACAACGAACUGUUUGUAACAUGCACUUUCAUUUUAUGAUCUCAAAUUCACAAUUUAAUCACAACAAAUUCCAUUUUCAAGUUCCACAUAUAACUGAAAAAUGAAAUAAGUUACCAAACAACUUUUGUUCAAUUUUCAUUUUUUUUGAAAAUUGAAACUAGUUACCAUACAAGUUUUUGAGUUUCAGUUUAUAAAAAAAAAAAAUGAAAACUGAAAAAUUGAAGAUUGAAAACUAAAAACGGGGUAAAUUGAUCUAAUUUACAAGUAUUUUGAGAUUCAAACUUGGGUGUCAAAAGAUGAGCUCACCACCUUAACCAACUAACCUAAUCUACGUAUGAUGGUAACUAAGGUUCAUUAGUACAAGAUAAGCAUUUUUAUCUCCUAAAUAGAAAACAAUUUAAAUUAGCACAUGCUUUCAACUUGUGUUGAAUUAAAAAUGGAUGUCAAAUUAGCACGGUUAAAUACUCAUAGGCCAUAUUUAGUGACUAGUAUUGGAUUGGAUUGGAAAAGUCACUAAAUUUAAGGUAUAUUGAAAGAGGAAAUGAAGGUAGGGGUGAAUGACUUUCCAUGUUGGGGGGAUUAAGAGGGAUUAGUUAUAAGGUGUUGUUAUCCUAUUAUUUUAUAGGGAUUAAAUGAGAUAAAUUUUCUUCAUGAGUAAUCCAUCUUCUACUUUCAACUUGAUUAUAAAAAAAAUUAAAAAAUCAUUUCUUCCUUAAAUAUGCUUUAAAUAUAGGAAGUAUCCAAUCCAAUUCAAUACUAAUCACCAAACAGGAUCAUACGGUGCAUUUGGAUGGAGCAAUUCGCAUUAUGACAUAAAUGUGUCACUUGCCGAUAUUCAAUUCCUUGCGAAUAAACUCAAAUGAGUCUUUGCCCUCUACGCAAAACCAUUGACCAAUUUGCGUUUUGGUUCAUACUUCUAAUCGUCUGGUCGCAUUGGGCAUAAUUAGUUGUGAUUCUGUGGAGCAUGAGGUGAGUAAAAAGCAACGCCUGGGUUUCUGGGGAUAAUGCUCGUUUAUUGGUCUCAGUCGUACUCAUAUUCCUAGUAGGUCUCUUUCCACUAAUGUCUGCCACAUUGCAUUUCAUAUGAGAAUAAUUCCUUGGUCCCCCUCCCUCAAACUUCAAAUCAUCGAUGGCUAUUCCUGCUCUGAUAUUAGACAAGUUAUGUAUCCAUAAUCAUGCCCCUUAAAGUUUGUGGAUUAUUCAAACUUAACAUGAUUCUCGAGUUCAAAAUUGUUAAGUUUUUUCUUUAAAAAAAAAAUUUGACUGUCAUGAAGUGGAAGGAUGAGAUCCAAACUCGACUUUUAGUGCAAGAAAGAAGAAAAACUUACCUAUCAUACGUGUAUACAAAUGCACUGUUUACAUGCUUCUCAUCACAUAAACCCGUUUCACGUGUUAGACCAUGCCUACAAUGGUAGAAUUAGGUUGAAUGAUGCAACUAUUCUUAAAAUGUAACUAAUUAAAUGUAUCUAAAAUCAAGUUACAUAUUAUAUCUAACUUAUAUUUGCCAUGUGAAUAUAAUUAAACAAGUUUCAUAAGGUUUUUAAUGUGACGUUCGAUGUGAGAAAGAUAAACAAGUAAUCCAUUGGAGCUCUCCAAGUCCAAAGCAAAAGCUGCAUAACUAAACCUGCAGAGAUCUAUCACCUGAUGCAUUUCCCAUGUGAGAACUCGUGGAGUCAAAAUCAACGUAGGAAGGAAGAAAGGGCUACUUUUGUUCCCUACUGCAGUGAGCAUGUGUUCGCUUUAGACGUGGCUUGCCCUGAUUUGGUACUGAGCCCAGCAACCAAAAAGAUGGAAGCGGGCAACUUUGUCAAAGACGUAGUUGGUAUGUAACUUGUAGCUAAACCUAAAUAGUUAUAUUCUAAAAGCAGAGACGGCUAAUAGCUCCAUCAAAAGCAGGUCCAGUUUUAAGGCUUGCAUGUGCUUUCUGCUUUUGAAGUCCUAGCGCCUAAUCAAGGUCCCCUUAAAUUAAAAUUCAAAAUCUGGUCCCACCCAAAUGUUUUUAUGAUUUGUCGGGAAGGGACAAUUCUGGUAGGGUUUUUUUUCACUUUGUUGGUAGUGGUACUCUGUUUUAACUUUUGGUAUGUAAUCUUCUUGGUAGAUGUGCACUCUCUGCCAGUAUCUCUCUCUCUCUCUCACACGGUCAAAAAUUCUGGGAGACUGUUUGUUUGUCCUUAUUGAAAUUCAAGUAUUGGAUUCUGUUAUUCUGCUGCUUUUGUCUUUUGGGUCUAAGUUGCUUCUUAUUGGGGCAUUGUUCAUGGCUUACCGCACCAAUUCAAAAUAGAAAAAUUGGGUAAUUUCAAAUUGAGUGGAAAGAGAUUUGUAGCUCAUUAAGAGUAGUUAUCAGUGCACUCGAGUUUUUAUGUUUGAAUUCUUAGUAUGGCUCGUAAAAAAUGUUCAAUGCAGAUAGAGAAGGAGGAAAGACAGAGCUAUUUCAUCAAUAUUAGAAAUAGAUUGAUAAUUUAGUAUAAUCAACACUUCCGCACUUGUUUUCUCUUGUACAUCAAGAUUCCCAAACAGAAACCCUAAUGCUGCCUAAGAGUAACAGGCCGAGGUUGUAAUCAUCAUGAAAAUUGACUAAAUAAAGGAAAAGAAAAAAAAGGGAAAAGUACAAAACAUUGGGUAAAAAAGAGAGAAGAAUUGAAGGGAAGAAAAAAGGCAAGAGAUCCUAUAGAAUUUUUGAGCCAUAUAUAUUUGACCCAUUUUUGCAUAGCCUUUUUCUUUCCUCACAUAUUUCACUUCCCUCCAACCUAUAUAUAAUUUUUUUUAAGAAUGUCCCUCGCAAUAGGUCACAAUCUAAAAAUGUGAUCAGCAACGAGAACCCUUUCUGCAG